AUGCGGCUCAUGGGGCGUGUUGGGGCUGCGGUGAGACGAGGGCAGAGGAGGAGUGCCCGAGAGGACAGCCCCGUGAGCCCGUCCUCACUAUCCACUCAUUACUCACAUCGCGACCACACAGAGGAUGCAUCCUGCGCUGCUAAAGGGGUUGGAUUUAGAAAUAAAUUGCGGCAGUGCGUCAGUCAAGUCGCAGAUGUUUGGUCUUUGGGGAAAAACAGUUACAUCCUAUCUUGCAAGCCUUCUUUGAUGACCUACACAGUGAGAUAUAAUUGAAAAUGUACAUUCACACAAACUUGUACCUGAAUGCUCAUAGCAGUAUUACUCACAGGAGACUCAAAGUGGAAGUGAGCCACAUGGCUAUCAACUGAUGGAUAGAUACACAGUGUGUCUAUCCGCACAAUGAUUGCCCAGCAUAAAACCAAACGGAUGGAUACAUAUGGUACAAGCUACUAUGGGGGACCUGCUAAGUGAAAGAAGCCAGAGAGGAAAGGCCACCGGGGUGUGAGUCCACUUGUAUGAAAUGCCGGUUGCAGGCGAAUUCUUCAAGACAGGAAGCAGGUCCGUGAUGGCCGGGGCCUGGGGCUGAGGGUGGAUGGCCAAUAACAGCUAAGGGGUAAGGGGCCUCUUUUUGGACUUGUGGGAUGUUCUGGAAUUAGACAGUGGUAAAUAGUUGCACAACUUCAUACUAAAACCCACUGAAUUGUACUCUUUAAGCAGGUGAGUUUUAUUGUAUGUGAAUUAUACCUUAAUUUUUAGAAAGCUUUCCCCUGAUGAACACAUUUGCACUCAAAGUUACACCCCCCCACCCCAAAGUCUUCCAUGAUUGUGACAGUGGCAACUUCUAUUAAUAUUUUUUUCCCUCCUCUGGCAAAACCCACAAGCAGGGAAAAUGUUACAACUUUCUAAAUUGCUCCCUAGAGUGACUGGAAUAGUCACUUCUUCCAAUAAAUUCUUCAUAAUGAAAAGGCAAGGAGUUUCUUUUAUAGUUUGAGGCCUCUGUGAAAAAGGGGGAUUGACAUUCAAUCAUGUUCCUGUCUUAAAGAUGGGUUUAAACAGUUCCUCUGAUCUUUUAAAUGUGGAAAAAGAUUAUUUUUGAGACUGAUGUUUAAAAAGAGAAAGUAAGAUUUCAGAAGUUGCAGCUUCAAAGUCAGAAUUCAUGAAGGCAUAUAGAAGUUUUAAAGCAGUAUCAUAGAGUAAAAUUAAAGUGUUUCUAGCAGUUAUGAGGGAAUUCUUUUGUGAAUAAAAGAAUUUCUUACAGGGCUCAAACAUAUCUUGGACUAAAGAGAAAGGCAAAAACAUUGAAAACGUAGAUUUUUGUUUUAUAAGAAUGAUAGGGCUUGACAGAUCUUUCUUCACAGGAAUUUUGUAAAUGCAUUUUUAAUUUGAUACUGGAGUAUAGUUGAUUUGCAAAGUUGUGUUGGUUUCAGAUGUACAGCAAAGUGCUUCAGUUACACAUAUAUCCACUCUUUUUUUCACAUUCUUUUCCCAUAUAGGUCAUUACAGAGGAUUGAGAAGGGUUCCCCGUGCUCUGUGGUUGGUCUCUGUUGAUUAUCUAUUUUAUAUAUAGCAUUGUGAGGAUGUUAGUCCCAAAAUCCUAAUUUAGCCUUUCCCCCCACCUUUCCCCUUUGGUAAUUGUAAGUUUGUUUUUGAAGUCUUUGACGGGGAUUUUUUAAAAAUCAAGGGAAUAUAUAUGAGUGUGCUUUGCUCCCUCUAAAAAUAUGUGUCAUAUAAAUUCAAAGCACUGUUAUCUUAAUUCAAUAAAAGUUUAUGGGAAUGAUAUAAAAUCACCUGGAAAGUUCCAGCUUGUGUUCAAAUUACCUACACAAAACAUUUUCACUCCCGCCAUAAAAAGGUUAGGGCCCUGUUUCUUUUCAUUUGUGAGAGCCUGAAAUGAGAUAAACUCCUUCUUGGGAAGGAGGUAACGAGCUGUCAGUCUUAGGAGAGAGCUGUUUGGACAAUGAAAGCUGCAUAUCAUACUCUGAAGCCAGCAACCUUUAGGAAGAAAAUUCUAAAUUUCUGCUUGAGAAGUUUUAUCUCUGAACUUUUAAAUAAGCUAAUUAUGAGCUAAUUUGCACAACAUGAACUUUGUUCAGGCUUCUCUCCCUCAUCCCCCACCCUUUUUUUUUUUUAACAGAACCUAAUUAUUGCAAGGAGAUCAAGCCAGUCAAUCCUAAAGGAAAUCAACCCUGAAUAUU
rnacentral:lncRNA from 1 species